rnacentral:rRNA from 1 species
AUUGAACGCUGGCGGCAGGCUUAACACAUGCAAGUCGAGCGGAGAUGAGGUGCUUGCACCUUAUCUUAGCGGCGGACGGGUGAGUAAUGCUUAGGAAUCUGCCUGUUAGUGGGGGGACAACAUUCCGAAAGGAAUGCUAAUACCGCAUACGUCCUACGGGGAGAAAAGCAGGGGAUCUUCGGACCUUGCGCUAAUAGAUGAGCCUAAGUCGGAUUAGCUAGUUGGUGGGGUAAAGGCCUACCAAGGCGACGAUCUGUAGCGGGUCUGAGAGGAUGAUCCGCCACACUGGGACUGAGACACGGCCCAGACUCCUACGGGAGGCAGCAGUGGGGAAUAUUGGACAAUGGGGGGAACCCUGAUCCAGCCAUGCCGCGUGUGUGAAGAAGGCCUUAUGGUUGUAAAGCACUUUAAGCGAGGAGGAGGCUACUGAGACUAAUACUCUUGGAUAGUGGACGUUACUCGCAGAAUAAGCACCGGCUAACUCUGUG